rnacentral:lncRNA from 1 species
CAGAUCCCCAGCCCUAUAAACCUGCAGUCCUACAGAUCCCUGGCUCUGCAGAGCCUGGUCCUGUGGACCGAGCACAGUACGGAUGGAGGGGAGGUCUGGGUGAGGGGGGCGCCCUUGGGAGACGCACAGACGGCACACGGCCAGCAAGCUGAGGUGAGUUUGGAGUAGGGGUCCUCCUCUUUCGGAGACCGAAAUAGUUACCGAAGAACGCAGCUGAUGUCAGGGACUGGCUUCAAAAUCACCGGGUGCGGGGGCGUGGGCUGGCCUCUGGCUGGAACGGGGUUGGCUGUGGGCUGGUCCCUGUGGCCCCAGGCAGAACACGACCUUUGCUGCGCUGUGUCUGAGCCUUCCCAUAAUAAGAACAUCAACAACAGCAGAAUCUCAUGGCCAAACCCAUGGGAAACCCCUUCUCUGGAAGCUCACCCCCACCCCCAGGGUCUCCCUGCUCCCUAAGACCUGCCGGAUAGUGGGGUCUUUGCUUUGGAGAUGAGUGAGUGCCGCUGCCAGGUGUGCAGGGGAACAGCACCAUGGGUGCUUUGUGAAGCGGGGACCACCAUAAAGAAAGCGGGAGGUUCCUGAGAUGGGUGGAGGAACAGCCACACCCUCCUCUCUUCUCUCCAGCGCUUCUCCCCUGGCAGGUGCCCUCCCCACCCCACGACCACCAUUAAUGCUGAAAUCCAAGACCCUGGGCUCGAGGACGCAGAACGACUCGUGGUUUGCAAAGUGUGGCACCCCCAGACGCUCCAGCAUCCGCGUGGUCUGGGAACUGACUUCGUUAGAAAUGCAGUUUCCUGGGCCCACCCAAGGCCUCCUGAGUCAGAAACAAUCUGUGCCUUAAGAGAGGCCUCGGGGGGAUUCUGGGGCCUGGUAAAGUUUGGGAACUGCUGGUCUACACCAUGAGGAGAAACGCUGGACCCGGCCUAAGAAGAGGCCCUCCCUCCUGUCUGACAAUGAGCCAUGAGAAGACCAUGGGAAAAAAAAGAGGCCACCAGAAACCCUAUUGCCGAGGUCCUGGCAAGGAAGAAAAGGACAGAAGAGCUAAUUUCCCUACAAGAACACGGGUCUAGGAAACAGAAAAUAAAGGAAGCUUCCAUUUCAUGGGCAGAGACAUCUCGGCAAAUAGGCUGAGCCCAUGUCCCCAGAGCUCUGAGUAAUUAAAUUUUGAGAAAAGUG